UGUUAUAGCUCAGGUGGUAGAGCGUCGCCUUGGUAAGGCGGAGGUCACGGGUUCAAAUCCCGUUAAC
rnacentral:tRNA from 1 species